GCCAGGCCAGCUACAAAGACAAAACCAACACCCAGGGCCCAGGAGAGAUGGAGUCUCCAGCCUUAACAGAAAUAAGAAAUUGGCACUCAUCAAGUCAGCCAGCAGGCCUAGGAGGGCUCCACACACUCAGCCUCUCCCAGCAUCUCAGUGACUGAAGGAGACAUUGUGCUGUAACCCAGAUGGGAGUGGCCGUUUUCAAGAGGAGCACUGCACCAUCUAGAGGAGUCGCCAUUUUAAAUUUCUCCUUUAGACCCUGUCUGAUUUUAUGUUAAAGAUUUUUUUGCAUCAUGGACAGUGCAUGUAGCACAUAUUUGCUGUGGCCUGGAGGAAGAGCAGGCAAGAGACUUGCAUGACCUCAGUCAUGUCAGUUUCCCCUUGGAGUCCAUUUCCUCAUCCAUAAAGUAAAGGUCUUGAGCCAAGCGACCAUCAAGGUCCAUUUUGGCUCUAAGAUUCUGUGAUGCUCUGCUUAUAGGAUGGCAGCACGGUGACCUGAAGGAGUUAAUUCAUCUUGCAGAAUAUUUCAAACCUUGCAUCAGCACAGGUGAGACACAGAAUAGAAGGAGAAUCACCCCCCACCCCCUUCCCAAGAAGACAAAGCUGCCCAUCAUUUGCCUUUAAUCUGUUUUCUUAAUUUUCUUCCUAAGGAAAGUCACAGUUCCAAUCAGCCCUCUAAUCAAUGGCUGCACUACUCCUGCACAAAUGAGCUAGAUUUAUUAAAGGAGUCCGCUCUUCGAUGGAAAUGGGCUCCCUGCUGGGGCUGCAAAUACAGGCUAAGAUUGACUGCUCCCAGAAUAGGCAAAGAUGUAAAGAAAAUGAGAGGAGGCAAGUGAUGGGGAAGAAGGCACCCAAGGCCUCUAUACGACCACCCCACCACCAUGACCAUGAAUGGAUGGUCACUGGUGACAACCUGGAUGUUUGCAUCUCAUUCAGUCUGAUCUUGGGCACAGUAACCAGUAGCGAUUCAUGAGUAAACAUCGUCUGUCACUUCUCUAAAUGCGCUAAGAAAAGAAGCUCACCGAAAAGAAGCUCACGGAGAACAUAGUAAAGGAGAGGCUCUUCCUGGGGAGAACCUCACAGAAACCAAGAGCUUAUAGGCUGUCAGAGUUGGAAAGAAACUUUGAUGAUGAUGGACAGCCACGAACUGAGGGGAUAUUCUGUGAAGGGACCCCAAUAUUUCUGACUCAUGGAUGGCCAGAAGCAGAAGAAAUUAAUAUUUCAAGACUGUAAGAAAUUAUUCAUAUUAGAUAAAAAUUAAAUAUUUGCAUAUCCAUAUUUGGGGGCUGAGAGCUCCUUGUUAAUAGGAAGUGGACACUUUGUUAUAUACAGAAGAAGCCGAUGGAGAAAAUUGGGACCAAAAAAACUUAAUCUGUCCCACAAAAUGUCAAGCUCUGCCUUCAUUGUGGGUAAAUUUGUAUUUCUGGAAAUUAUGGUUAUGUUUCUGGGGAGGGGGUGCUGAUGGGGACACUGAUUUCUUGUUAGUUUCCCCCUGAAACCUCAGAGAAAUCUCAGUAGCCUGGAUCUCAGUGCAGAAUAUGAACAAAGCCAUUUGUGUGGUAGGCAGGUGUCUGGACCCCAUAACAUGAUGGGAGAUGAGACAGAGAGAGAGAGAGAGUGCCAAGAUGAAAGUCCUGUGCUAUAAAUAAUAGAAGCCAAAUUGCUUAGUAUACUCUUUUAAAAAUUUCUAUUCUCAGUUAUAAUUUCCUUCUGUUACCCUCAAACCUUAGUUUUGUUCAACAUGUCAGCCUGAGAGAGAGCAAUCUGGAAAAACAAACCAGUUACAAGAUGGUGAGAAGAAACAACGUAGCAAAGAUCCAGAGCAAAAUAGACAUGAAGAUGAUGAGGUUCAAGCAGGAAGGAUUUGUGGAAUGUGUAAACAGUCCUCAGACAAACCUCCCUUCCAAACCGUGGGACCCUGGAAGAAGGCUUGACUUUCUAUGGUUAGAUGGAAAAGGGGGUUGGAGCUGAUUCUGAAUAAUAAAGGGAAGGAUGGAGAACCUCUGAAGGCUGGAGAACUCAGGGUCAUCUGGAUUCUCUAAGGAACAAAAUGCAGAGGAAGACAUUAAGUGAUGUGCCCAGGGUCACACAGCUAGUUAGUGACAGAGACAAUUUCAGACAGAGACUUUGAGAUUCUUAAUCUUGAGUUCUAGACCCACAUAGACCCACCACAUCUCUCCCCACCUUGCAAAGCCCAGCCAAGCUUUUAAGUGACUGGCGCUUACUACCCAGAGAGGGAGAGCGGGAGAAAGAGGGCAGAGAGGAGAGGGUCGGGUGGGAGGCGGAGGAGGGGAUUCAUUCAGUGUUCAAGAGAAGUAUCCUUUCUAGACUUAUUCUGGUUGCUCACUUUUUUUGAGCUGGUUCUGCUUUUUGAGACUUGCAGCCUGUUGAGAGUUAAAAGAUGAGUUAAUCCGCUUGUUUUUACAGAUGAGAAAAGCUGCCCAGAGAGUGGAAGUGGCUUGCCUAAAAUUAUUAACAACUAAGAGUGAAAGUGUGUUUGGAAGAAGAGAACAAAAGCAGCAAAGACAAAGUGCGGAGGGAAAAGAAAGAAAAAGAAUUAUCCCAGUAAGGCUGCAGCUGGACUCCAGGGAGUAGGUUUGGGAUUAACCCUUGGAUGUCUUCCCUAACUAUGCCAGCUCCCUUACUCUUCCCUUCCUUGGGUCUUGAAAAUAACCAUGCUGUCCUGAUUUACCUCGUGUGAGUGUUGUUGUGGGAACUGGAUUCCAGGGCGUGCCCCAUACCACAUGCUUUUCUUCUAUCAAACACCUCACACAACUCGGAAUACGCAGUUCAUGCUCAAUAAACAUCUGCUUGUUGAUUAAUCUUUGAGAAAACCAGUAAACUU
rnacentral:lncRNA from 1 species